rnacentral:lncRNA from 1 species
GCAUUGGAUGGGCUCCAGGGAACAGAAUGUACUUGGCAGAGGCGCGGGGCUUGAUGUCUGCAAAAUGUCGGAAACUCAGCCAAGAGCUGCUAACUGGGUCAUUAACCUCCAAAAGCGAAGCGAGGGCUGUAGGCCCUCUCUGCCUCCCUUCAUCUCGCCAAUAAAAGUGCCUCAGUGUGAAGGAAAGAAAAAGCCCAAGGUUGGCUGCUUUGAUUUCUAGGCACUGAAGGCAGACCGGUCUCCUCCCCCUGCCCGCGCCCCAGCUCCUCCCGGCUGCCUUUCUGUUCGGAACCAAGAGUUUACAAGUGGCCUUUCAAAGGCCCAGCAGCCCUGCAGGGCCAAGCUGCAGCAUCUGUGAAGAUGUUACCCUCCGCCCUUCCCAACCGCACAGCCUCAGACCCAUUUUCUCCCCCCUGGGUUGCGAGGGAGGGGUAAGUUUGGAGGUGGGGCGAA